AUGGGUUUAGGACUGAAAGGAAUUUUCAUUCUGACUCUUUUACAAGGUGUCCAUUUUGAUGUUCAGCUGGUAGAGUCUGAGGGUGAUGUGAGACAGCCUGGAGGAUCUCUUAGCCUUUCCUCCAAAGCUUCUGGAUUCACCUUCAGUAGCUGUGGUAUGGACUGGGUCCACCAGGCUCCAGGGAAGGGGCUGGAGCAGCUCACAUAUAUUAGUACUAAUGGAGGAACACACUAUGCAGGCUCUGUGAAGGGCCGAUUCACCAUCACCAGGGACUACAGCAACAGCAUGCUGCACCUGCAAAUGAAUUCUCUUAAAGCUGAGGACACAACCAUGUCUUACUAUACAAGAGACACAGUGAGUAAAUUGAAUAUGAGACCAGAUAUAAACCCCCUCAUUCAGACAGGCCAUGAGGAGAAUGACUUAGAAAGGGAAGUCAAGAACACUGAGCACAAGGAGACCACUUAG